rnacentral:rRNA from 1 species
UACGUAGGGGGCAAGCGUUGUCCGGAUUUAUUGGGCGUAAAGAGCGUGUAGGUGGCCGCACAGGUCCGUUGUGAAAACUGGAGGCUUAACCUUCAGACGUCGAUGGAAACCGUGCGGCUAGAGUCCGGAAGAGGAGAGUGGAAUUCCUGGUGUAGCGGUGAAAUGCGCAGAUAUCAGGAAGAACACCCGUGGCGAAGGCGGCUCUCUGGGACGGUACUGACGCUGAGACGCGAAAGCGUGGGGAGCGAACAGG